ACGAACGCUGGCGGCGUGCUUAACACAUGCAAGUCGAGCGGUAAGGCCUUUCGGGGUACACGAGCGGCGAACGGGUGAGUCACACGUGGGUGAUCUGCCCUGCACUUCGGGAUAAGCCUGGGAAACUGGGUCUAAUACCGGAUAUGACCUCCUAUCGCAUGGUGGGUGGUGGAAAGAUUUAUCGGUGCAGGAUGGGCCCGCGGCCUAUCAGCUUGUUGGUGGGGUAAUGGCCUACCAAGGCGACGACGGGUAGCCGACCUGAGAGGGUGACCGGCCACACUGGGACUGAGACACGGCCCAGACUCCUACGGGAGGCAGCAGUGGGGAAUAUUGCACAAUGGGCGAAAGCCUGAUGCAGCGACGCCGCGUGAGGGAUGACGGCCUUCGGGUUGUAAACCUCUUUCAGCAGGGACGAAGCGCAAGUGACGGUACCUGCAGAAGAAGCACCGGCUAACUACGUG
rnacentral:rRNA from 1 species